AUGCAGUCGUACGAUGAACCACUUCGGUGGGGAUUAGUGGCGAACGGGUGAGUAACACGUGGGCAAUCUGCCCUGCACUCUGGGACAAGCCCUGGAAACGGGGUCUAAUACCGGAUACUGAUCCUCGCAGGCAUCUGCGAGGUUCGAAAGCUCCGGCGGUGCAGGAUGAGCCCGCGGCCUAUCAGCUAGUUGGUGAGGUAACGGCUCACCAAGGCGACGACGGGUAGCCGGCCUGAGAGGGCGACCGGCCACACUGGGACUGAGACACGGCCCAGACUCCUACGGGAGGCAGCAGUGGGGAAUAUUGCACAAUGGGCGAAAGCCUGAUGCAGCGACGCCGCGUGAGGGAUGACGGCCUUCGGGUUGUAAACCUCUUUCAGCAGGGAAGAAGCGAAAGUGACGGUACCUGCAGAAGAAGCGCCGGCUAACUACGUGCCAGCAGCCGCGGUAAUACGUAGGGCGCAAGCGUUGUCCGGAAUUAUUGGGCGUAAAGAGCUCGUAGGCGGCUUGUCACGUCGGUUGUGAAAGCCCGGGGCUUAACCCCGGGUCUGCAGUCGAUACGGGCAGGCUAGAGUUCGGUAGGGGAGAUCGGAAUUCCUGGUGUAGCGGUGAAAUGCGCAGAUAUCAGGAGGAACACCGGUGGCGAAGGCGGAUCUCUGGGCCGAUACUGACGCUGAGGAGCGAAAGCGUGGGGAGCGAACAGGAUUAGAUACCCUGGUAGUCCACGCCGUAAACGGUGGGCACUAGGUGUGGGCAACAUUCCACGUUGUCCGUGCCG
rnacentral:rRNA from 1 species